GUCUUCAACAUGAAAAGUAAAUUACAAUCUGUCGGUUAGAUUUCAGAGGAACGAAUUAUUUCAUUUUUCUCGACACAAACUUCAUGAAGUUCAGGACCUGGAAAAACUUGGCAGAAACUGAACCCAGAGCUGAAAUAAACGGAGCCAAAAACGAAAGAGGAGAGACGGAAAGAGGGAGAGACCUCUGUCAUGGGAACAACGAAUGCCGAGUAAUCACACAGUGAAUCAAUUUAGGAAAACAUGACAACGCUGUCAGCAGUGCUAACAGCCUCGCAGCUUUCUAAGUAGACCCAGAUGACACUUAGCCAGAAUAAAGCUAAGAGUCUGUUUUCUCCCCAACCCUUUCAUGAGAAACAUCAAGAGCAAAGCGGCAGCAGGAAAGCAGACAUAACAACUCUGCGAGAUGGAGAAGAUGUGUGAUAAUCAUAGGACUCCCUCUGAACAACUGUCUUCAAACGGCUCAGUUGUCAUGGGAAUCCAGAGAG